CACGAACGCUGGCGGCAGGCCUAACACAUGCAAGUCGAACGCAUCGCAAGAUGAGUGGCAGACGGGUGAGUAACGCGUGGGGAUCUACCCAGUUCUACGGAACAACAGGUGGAAACGACUGCUAAUACCGUAUACGCCCUACGGGGGAAAGAUUUAUCGGAAUUGGAUGAGCCCGCGUAAGGUUAGGUAGUUGGAGGGGGAAUGGCCUACCAAGGCAACGAUCUUUAGCUGGUCUGAGGGGAUGAUCCGCCACGCUGGGACUGAGACACGGCCCAGACUCCUGCGGGAGGAAGCAGUGGGGAAUAGUGGAAAAUGGGCGCAAGCGUGAUCCUGCCAUGCCGCGUGAGUGAUGAAGGCCUUAGGGUUGUAAAGCUCUUUCACCGAUGAAGAUAAUGACGGUAGUCGGAGAAGAAGCCCCGUCUAAUUUCGUGCCAGCAGCCGCAGUAAAAC
rnacentral:rRNA from 1 species